GGACGACAUUGCAUGAUUUGGUUCUAUGAUUAUUUGCAUUCACACGACUUAUAGUUUCUUUGAGAUUUUAUCAUUUCGUAUCUCCAAGAUCUUUUGUUAUCUAGCUUGAUGUUUUAAGUGUUACAGCUCAACAAAAAUCUAUCUUGUCUUCUUCGAAACCUUUAAAGGAAGGAUUUGGAGCUCAUGGGAAGCCACAUGCUGAAGGUGAAUGGCAUGAUUCUAACGCUACAUGUGGGGUUAAUGCCGCUCAAGGUAGUGGCAAUGUUAGACGUGUUACCAGGUAUCAUAACAUGAAAGUCUGUCAGCAGAAGCAGCCAGCUUCUGGAAUUACUCUAAAACAUCCAGAGGAACUGAACAGUCCACUAACACCAGCUCAGUUGCAAUCUCUGGAAAAAGUAACUACAAAAAAAGUAAAUACACCAUCUAAACAUCUUGAUGAAAGCUCUACAUCUAGAGUUUCUAGAACUUUAUUUGAAAAUAAAGAAGGUUGUUCUAGGAGAAAGAAAGUUACAAGUGAAAAAAUUCAGAUCACGUGUGAAAGAAAAAGGACUAGAUCUGCCACUGCAACCAAAUAACCACGAAAAAGGGGUUUAAGCCCCUCGAUCAUUGGUGAGUAAGAGUAGAUAUCCCCACCGUCUACUCUAUCAAGUUUCAAAAAGUCCAGAUCAGGAUGGUUGCUUCCACCACCCUUAGAGUUUUGGCGUAACCAGAUACCGAUUUACAAUGCGGACCAUGAGGUUACAGAAAUUUAGGGAGGUGCAUAUGUGGUUCAAUAGAUAAAGGUUCUUCAGCAUUAUUGAGCAU